CGCUCCCGAGGCCACGUGACCUCCCCCCUCUUCCAAAGCCAUGGCGGCAGUGACCGAAGAUCUCCACUUCGGGCCCGCAGCGGGCACCCGCUUCUUCUGCACCGCGAGCCGCGGCCUGGAGCCCUUCCUGCUGCGGGAGGUGCGGACGCGGCUGAGGGCCACGCAGGUAAUUCUACCCUUCCCACCCGGGUCUCCUUCGGCAACCAGCUGCCUGCCAGCCCCUGCCCGCCACUUGCGGGGACGCGCCGCGCGCGCCCGAGGCCACGUGACCCUGAAAGCCAUGGCGGUAGCGACGGGAGAUCCCCGCUUCGGGCCUGCAGUGGGCGCCCGCUUCUUCUGCACCGCGAGCCGCGGCCUAGAGCCCUUCCUGCUGCAGGAGGUGCGGGCGCGGCUGAGGGCCACGCAGGUUGAAUAUAUUUCAGGAAAAGUUUUUUUCACCACCUGUUGUGACUUGAAUAUGCUGAAAAGAUUAAAAUCUGCUGAAAGAUUAUUUUUGCUGAUUAAAAAGCAGUUUCCAUUUAAUGUUUCUUCUGUAAGUAAAGGACAAAUAUUUAAUGAAAUGGAAAAACUUAUAAACGAUGAUCCUGAAAAUUGGUUGAAUACUCUUUCAAUCUGGAAAAAUCUUCUUGAAUUUGAUGCAAAAGAGGAAGAACUUUCUCAAAAAGAUGUUAACUCACUAAAAAGAAAAGUGGGAGAAGAUGAUAAUACCAUUGCUAAGAAAGUAAAAACAGAACAAGUGCAGGAGAUACACGAGAAUAAGGAAUGCCAGCGAGAAAAACAAACAGAAGAAACACUGGAGCAAGGAAACUGUAUCACUCAAAGAGAAGAACUUCAAGAAGAAGAACUUCAGAAUGAUGCAGUGGAAGCGGUCGAUACUCCUACUAAAGGGAAGCACUUGACUUUCAGAGUUUCUUGUCGCUGCAGUGGAGCCAUUGCAAAGACCUUCACGACACAGGAGAUAGGAAGAGUAAUUGGAAUUGCUCUUAAGAAACAGUUUGGAUGGAAAGUAGAUUUGAGGAAUCCAAAUUUAGAGAUCUUUAUACAUUUAAGUGACAUUUACUCUGUGGUGGGAAUUCCUGUUUUCAGGGUUCCUUUAGCCAGCAGAGCUUACAUCAAGACAGCUGGACUGAGAUCCACCAUAGCAUGGGCAAUGGCGUCUCUUGCAGAAAUUAAGGCUGGUGCAUUUGUUUUAGAUCCAAUGUGUGGACUUGGAACAAUACUUUUGGAGGCUGCAAAAGAAUGGCCAGAUGUGUAUUAUGUGGGUGCUGAUGUCAGUGACUCACAGUUACUAGGUGCGUCUGACAAUCUGAAAGCUGCAGGCCUUAAGGAUAAAAUCGAGUUACUUAAAGGCUCUGUUAUAGCACUACUUACAAUAACCAAGACAUGGAAGCAGCCUCAAUGUCCACGGACAGAGGAAUGGAUAAAGAAGAUGUACAUAAAUGCAAUGGAAUAUUACUCGGCCAUAAAAAAAUGAAAUAAUGCCAUUUGCAGCAACGUGGAUGGACCUAGAAAUUACAUACUAAAUGAAAAUUGCCAUUACCUUCAGAAAGUGUUGAUAUUAUUAUUUCUGACAUUCCAUUUGGGAAAAAGUUUAAGUUAGGAAAAGAUAUCAAAAGCAUUCUGCAAGAAAUGGAAAGAGUGCUUCAUGUUGGCGGGACCAUCGUGUUGCUGCUUAGUGGAGACCACCUCAGGCGCCUUAAAGGUUGUGAAGAGAGCAGCGUCUCCUUGUGUCCCAAGGGCAGCCGCACAGAUGAACCUGGAAGUGAAGAAUGCUUGAAUCCUGAAGAGAAAGCUGCCGUACCAGAGCCAGCAUGGUCUUCACUUGAAGCCAGUAACCAGGAACACUUGGACAGAAUGCCACCCUUUGGCUCUUUAGUGCCAGUGGAAUGCUACAAAGUUAGCCUGGGAAAACCAGAUGCAUUCAUAUACAAAUAUAAGAAGUCGCACUCCCCUGGGCAAUAGCAGGUCUGCCGGGUUCAAGUCCUCAUUUGUCAGCGGUACAGCCUAGAAGAGGGUGGUCUCUGGGAUCUUGACAGUGCCAGAGGGUUGCAAGUAAACAGACCUCGAUCCUCACAAGUUUGGGAAUAUGUACACUAUCAGAAUUUCUGAAACAUAGAAACUUUUAUGUUUUGUUUUGGUAUCAACUUCUUUUGAUAUUAAACUUGAUUUUUUGAAGCUGUCAUUUUGUUCUCCACUGGAAUGAAAAUAACUUAAUUUGCAGUACAUUUGCUGUGUCCCCUAUUUUAUAAAACAUCAGUGGGAAUAAUAACCCUGUGAGUUAAUAAGCCAGUAUCCCCCAACAUGACAGAAAACAAAACUUUACUUUUUUUCUAAAAGUAUUAAUAAAUUGACACC